rnacentral:rRNA from 1 species
UACGAAGGGUGCAAACGUUGCUCGGAAUUAUUGGGCGUAAAGCGCACGUAGGCGGCUUGGCAAGUCGGAUGUGAAAUCCCUCGGCUCAACCAAGGAAGUGCAUCCGAAACUGCUGAGCUUGAGUACUUAAGAGGAUCGCGGAAUUCCCGGUGUAGAGGUGAAAUUCGUAGAUAUCAAGAGGAACACCUGCGGCGAAGGCGGGUUGCUGGGCCGACACUGACGCUGAAGCGCGAAAGCCAGGGGAGCGAACGGG